CUGUGACGUCGCAUCGCAUGUGUAGUUCAAACGUGACCGUUGUGCUUCGACAGCAACGUACGUUACUGUAACUCCCGGUAACGUACAGUAACGCUCUAUCACUGUAACGUACUGCUUAUCAGUAUGCCAGUAUGACGUCAGAGUAUGAGAGUAUGUUCUUAUGUACUUUUAGCAUAACAUUAUGAAUGAAAUCUGUAUAGUUUUCACUUCUGUUGUCACAAAAGUCUUGAAUAUGCACUGUUACCAGUUACUAAUAAGCUACAGUAACGUUAGGCAGUAAAUCUGUCUGCUGGUAACAUUCACUUCUGUUGUAACCACUGUCUUCAACAUGCACCGCUGCUACUGGUAGGCUACUAGUAGAUAACAAGCUAGUAUUCACUUCUGUUGUCAUAAAUAUAUAAUAUGUAGGCUACUGCAGUUUAUAAUUAGCUGUUCGUUUGUGUGAUUGUAUGCAAGUAAGAACCUACGGUGUGCACAAAUAUCUGUGUAUUAGUAAGUUACAAAAGUGUGCACAUUGGUCAUAUUUGUGUUAUGAGCAAAUAUUAGCUGUAUUGGUAUAAAUAUCAUUUUCCUGUUAAUAACAGAUGGGUCCAAACAAAAAAAACAUAGGGCCGUGGGAGAGGAGGAGAGGAGAUCAGGUGUUUGGCUCUGAGGCAGGAAACAGACCAGCACCUCGUCAGAAGAAGUGGCAUGAUCUAUGUCUGAAGCCUUCCAGUUCGUUCCCUGUCUCAGUGCAUCCAGGAACCUCAUGUACAGUGGCACAGCAGCCAUGGCCUUCACCUGGUGAGACGCUACAGCCAGGACUCUACCUGCAGGUUCACCACCACCACCACCACCAAAGGAUGUCUCCUUAGCUGGUGGUGAACCUUGGCAUCAACCUCUGAUGUAUCCAGCCCCAUCACAAGCCCCACAAAAAGAAAAGUGUCACCAGCUGGACGCACACUGUUUCUCCUGUCUCUCUUCCUCCUUCUCCUGUUCCUGUAUCAAGCUUCUUCCAUUCUGCCUCCACUGCUACAGCUGAACCCCCUCUGCUCCUCUCACCUUGCCAUUGCCUAAAAAUGUGGGGAUCGUACCUGUUUCAGAUGCUGCCUGGCUGCCCACAAAGCUGCUAAAGACAUUUCAGCAGCCCUGUGGAAAGACCAGCGUCUUUUCAAAGACCUGAAACUGUGGUAUGAUCCACCAGAGUCCUCCCUCAUAUACCAUCAGGUCCUCACUCCUGAGCGCUUCUUCCACCACGACUUUUCUCAUGGAAAAAACAUGGUGUGACAUUCUUUGUCAAUAUGUAUAUAAUGUAAAUAGUUUUAAAAGAAAAAAGUCUUAAUUUGCUGCUGUUCUAUUUUGUUUUUUAACUUUAACACACGUGUUUGUGAGUGUGUGUGUGAAAUUUGUAAUAAAUUUGUUACAUUUCAGUGACUGUCUUCAUUUUUUACUGCAAAAAUGCAAACUCACUCAUAGAAAACGAUAAAAUUGUUGCAGUACUUCAUUCAGAAAUAUUAAAAUGACUAUAAAAGUACAUUUAGAUACAUGUGAUAACACUUGGUAGUAGUCUGUGUUAAAGGCCUCAUGUUCCAACGGUGGAAUCGAACCAGCGACCUUUGGGUCAAGAGCCUCCUAUGCUUUUCUGCAGUUAAGUGUCAUAUUUGGUUAAAUUUCUCAAAUUAAUAGACCAGAAUAUGUGUGAUUUUACUUGUGAUGGACAGUAGAGACACUAAUAACUACAGGCUCCUUCCAUCUUUUCAAAAUUUCCUCUCUUUUCCUUCUUUUUCCUUCUUUUUCCUUCUUCCCCCUUCUUCCCCC